AGUGAACGCUGGCGGCGUGCCUAACACAUGCAAGUCGAACGAUGAUAGAGAGCUUGCUCUCUUGAUUAGUGGCGCACGGGUGAGUAUACCAUAGAUAAUGUACCUCUUAGUUCGGGAUAGCCACUGGAAACGGUGAUUAAUACCGGAUACUCCUUCUUGUCUUAAGGCAAGUCGGGAAAGUUUUUUCCCUAAGAAAUCAGUCUAUGUCCUAUCAGCUAGUUGGUGAGGUAAUGGCUCACCAAGGCAAUGAAGGGUAUCUGGUUUGAGAGGAUGAUCAGACACACUGGAACUGAGACACGGUCCAGACUCCUACGGGAGGCAGCAGUGAGGAAUAUUGCACAAUGGAGGAAACUCUGAUGCAGCAACGCCGCGUGGAGGAUGACGCAUUUCGGUGUGUAAACUCCUUUUAAGAGGGAAGAUAAUGACGGUACCUCUUGAAUAAGCACCGGCUAACUCCGUGCCAGCCGCCGCCGUAAAAC
rnacentral:rRNA from 1 species